AAAUCAGCCAAUGGUUGGCUGAUCGCGCUAUCAAGUAAUUGGUGCUUUGGUUACUUGCCUGCUCUCUUUUUAU
rnacentral:ncRNA from 1 species